rnacentral:tRNA from 1 species
CCCUGUGGCUCAGUUGGUAGAGCAUGGUGUUUGCAACGCCAGGGUUGUGGGUUCGAUUCCCACCAGGG